AAAUUGAAGAGUUUGAUCAUGGCUCAGAUUGAACGCUGGCGGCAGGCCUAACACAUGCAAGUCGAGCGGUAGCACAGAGAGCUUGCUCUCGGGUGACGAGCGGCGGACGGGUGAGUAAUGUCUGGGAAACUGCCUGAUGGAGGGGGAUAACUACUGGAAACGGUAGCUAAUACCGCAUAACGUCGCAAGACCAAAGUGGGGGACCUUCGGGCCUCAUGCCAUCAGAUGUGCCCAGAUGGGAUUAGCUAGUAGGUGGGGUAACGGCUCACCUAGGCGACGAUCCCUAGCUGGUCUGAGAGGAUGACCAGCCACACUGGAACUGAGACACGGUCCAGACUCCUACGGGAGGCAGCAGUGGGGAAUAUUGCACAAUGGGCGCAAGCCUGAUGCAGCCAUGCCGCGUGUGUGAAGAAGGCCUUCGGGUUGUAAAGCACUUUCAGCGGGGAGGAAGGCGNAAGGNNNNNNNNNNNNCGAUUGACGUUACCCGCAGAAGAAGCACCGGCUAACUCCGUGCCAGCAGCCGCGGUAAUACGGAGGGUGCAAGCGUUAAUCGGAAUUACUGGGCGUAAAGCGCACGCAGGCGGUCUGUCAAGUCGGAUGUGAAAUCCCCGGGCUCAACCUGGGAACUGCAUUCGAAACUGGCAGGCUAGAGUCUUGUAGAGGGGGGUAGAAUUCCAGGUGUAGCGGUGAAAUGCGUAGAGAUCUGGAGGAAUACCGGUGGCGAAGGCGGCCCCCUGGACAAAGACUGACGCUCAGGUGCGAAAGCGUGGGGAGCAAACAGGAUUAGAUACCCUGGUAGUCCACGCCGUAAACGAUGUCGAUUUGGAGGUUGUGCCCUUGAGGCGUGGCUUCCGGAGCUAACGCGUUAAAUCGACCGCCUGGGGAGUACGGCCGCAAGGUUAAAACUCAAAUGAAUUGACGGGGGCCCGCACAAGCGGUGGAGCAUGUGGUUUAAUUCGAUGCAACGCGAAGAACCUUACCUGGUCUUGACAUCCACAGAACUUUCCAGAGAUGGAUUGGUGCCUUCGGGAACUGUGAGACAGGUGCUGCAUGGCUGUCGUCAGCUCGUGUUGUGAAAUGUUGGGUUAAGUCCCGCAACGAGCGCAACCCUUAUCCUUUGUUGCCAGCGGUNCGGCCGGGAACUCAAAGGAGACUGCCAGUGAUAAACUGGAGGAAGGUGGGGAUGACGUCAAGUCAUCAUGGCCCUUACGACCAGGGCUACACACGUGCUACAAUGGCAUAUACAAAGAGAAGCGACCUCGCGAGAGCAAGCGGACCUCAUAAAGUAUGUCGUAGUCCGGAUUGGAGUCUGCAACUCGACUCCAUGAAGUCGGAAUCGCUAGUAAUCGUAGAUCAGAAUGCUACGGUGAAUACGUUCCCGGGCCUUGUACACACCGCCCGUCACACCAUGGGAGUGGGUUGCAAAAGAAGUAGGUAGCUUAACCUUCGGGAGGGCGCUUACCACUUUGUGAUUCAUGACUGGGGUGAAGUCGUAACAAGGUAACCGUAGGGGAACCUGCGGUUGGAUCACCUCCUUA
rnacentral:rRNA from 1 species